ACAUGAGAGCUAGGUCUCUCUCAGAUACAAAGUCAAAUCUCCCGGUCUUAGGGAAGAUGGACCUAGACAAUAUACUCAAGAGGAUCCGCAUCUCAAUCGGUAGUGAGCGAGCGGAUACCUCGUCUAUGGGUGACUGGGGUGGAUGCCCUAGAACGGCCGUAAGGGCCUCAACCCUGUCCUCAGGGUGUGUGGGAGCCACCCCUACUAAUGGAAGGCGGAGG
rnacentral:lncRNA from 1 species